rnacentral:rRNA from 1 species
UGGGGAAUAUUGCACAAUGGGCGCAAGCCUGAUGCAGCGACGCCGCGUGGGGGAUGACGGCCUUCGGGUUGUAAACUCCUUUCGCUAGGGACGAAGCUUUUUGUGACGGUACCUAGAUAAGAAGCACCGGCUAACUACGUGCCAGCAGCCGCGGUAAUACGUAGGGUGCGAGCGUUGUCCGGAAUUACUGGGCGUAAAGGGCUCGUAGGUGGUUUGUCGCGUUGUCUGUGAAAUUCCGGGGCUUAACUCCGGGCGUGCAGGCGAUACGGGCAUAACUUGAGUACUGUAGGGGUAACUGGAAUUCCUGGUGUAGCGGUGAAAUGCGCAGAUAUCAGGAGGAACACCGAUGGCGAAGGCAGGUUACUGGGCAGUUACUGACGCUGAGGAGCGAAAGCAUGGGUAGCGAACAGG